CAACAACAGAAAAAUGUUGCAUUUUUACUAUUUUCUCGCCAAACCUGAACAAAUCUUUGUAAUAAGGAAGAUUAUACACAUUCACUGAAUUGAAGAUUAUGAAAACAGAAGAAUUUUCUCUGUCACUCUUCGAUCUGAUUGGCUGUUGGUCUGACCUUUUUGGCGCUGGUGUUCCUGACGGUGAAGGUCCUCUGGGUGUAGUAGGCGAGCGCUCUGCAGCUCUUCACCGUCACCAGGUUGGUGAUCAUGACGAUGACGCAGACGUUUUGCUCCCAGAUCAUCCUCCAGAAGUCCUCGGUGCUCGACCUCAGAGGACCCUGAGCGGCGAUGUACGACCGCGACGCCUGGAAACCCUGACGAGACACACGGC